rnacentral:rRNA from 1 species
AGUGAACGCUGGCGGUAGGCCUAACACAUGCAAGUCGAACGGCAGCACAGUAAGAGCUUGCUCUUACGGGUGGCGAGUGGCGGACGGGUGAGGAAUACAUCGGAAUCUACUUUUUCGUGGGGGAUAAUGUAGGGAAACUUACGCUAAUACCGCAUACGACCUACGGGUGAAAGCAGGGGAUCUUCGGACCUUGCGCGAUUGAAUGAGCCGAUGUCGGAUUAGCUAGUUGGCGGGGUAAAGGCCCACCAAGGCGACGAUCCGUAGCUGGUCUGAGAGGAUGAUCGGCCACACUGGAACUGAGACACGGUCCAGACUCCUACGGGAGGCAGCAGUGGGGAAUAUUGGACAAUGGGCGCAAGCCUGAUCCAGCCAUACCGCGUGGGUGAAGAAGGCCUUCGGGUUGUAAAGCCCUUUUGUUGGGAAAGAAAAGCAGCAGGUUAAUACCCCGCUGUUCUGACGGUACCCAAAGAAUAAGCACCGGCUAACUUCGUG